rnacentral:rRNA from 1 species
UGGGGAAUAUUGCGCAAUGGAGGAAACUCUGACGCAGCGACGCCGCGUGGGUGAUGAAGGCCUUCGGGUUGUAAAGCCCUGUCGGCUGGGAAAAAGGUAGUCGUGCUAAUACCACGAUUGCUUGAUGGUACCAGCAAAGGAAGCACCGGCUAACUCUGUGCCAGCAGCCGCGGUAAUACAGAGGGUGCAAGCGUUGUUCGGAAUUACUGGGCGUAAAGGGCGCGUAGGCGGCUCAACAAGUCUGUUGUGAAAUCCCGGGGCUUAACCUCGGAAGUGCAGUGGAAACUGUUGGGCUAGAGUGCAGUAGAGGAUGGUGGAAUACCCAGUGUAGAGGUGAAAUUCGUAGAUAUUGGGUGGAACACCGGUGGCGAAGGCGGCCAUCUGGGCUGCAACUGACGCU